UGUGUGUGGAACUGUUGGAACCACAUGCAAAAACAAUGCACAGAAAACAUGCAUACAGCAUUUCCCACACAUUUAGAAUUAGAUUUAGAAAAAGAAGAAUGUGGGGUGAGUGUGUGCACACAGCUUAUGCAGAUCACCAUACACAGUUUUCUAGAGGUAGGUGCAGCUAAUAUGAUAAGAGAUUAUAUUUAAGGUGACACACUGAUCCUUUAAGCAGAAUUGGCCUUAAAUUUCCCUCACACAGACACUCACUUUUUAUCCAUUCCUCCUCACAUUCCAUUCUCCUAUUCAGACAAUACAAUACAAACAUUUUACAUUUACGCAAUAAAACAAUGUAGUUUUUUUAAAUAUUUUAUUUCACUGUAGUUGACAUAAAGAAUGGCUUAUAUUGUCUGUCCUUAAGACCCAGAAAUUCAUAUUUGUCCUCUUUGGGGGACAUGACACUGUGGCCCUAUUUCAAACACCAUGCUCGCAGUCUAAUUGAGUCACAAUGUCCACAUCUGCUGUCUUCUCAAAAAAGAUAUACCGGUAUUGUUUCUGUUCUUCAUAUGGACGUUUUUUAUUUCCGAAAGUCUUUUCAUAUUAUAUUAGGGUUUUAGAAAUGUACAGUAUGUUCAUUUUGAGCCACGCCCUUUGUGGGGGACAGCGGGGCUUGUAUCUUGUCACUUUUAACAGUUUUCCAUUGUCCAGGAAAGAGAGGUGAUUAAAUGUCCAGUGUGAAGGAUUUAGUGGCAUCUAGAGCUUUAGUUACAGAUUGCAACUCCCUCGCUUCACCCUCCCCCUUCCAAGCUGGGAGAGAAACAACACUGGCUGUGAAACAUGCUGACAGAAGCUGACCCAGUAUCUGUAGAUACAGCUAAUUCUAAGGAUCUUGUCUAUGGAGUGUGACAGAACCUCUGAGGCCUCAGGUUUGCCAUCCCCACAGAUCCCCGCUGUGUUUCACCUUCUGACACCUGACGGCGAGGCACCAGUACCUGCACAAAUCAACACUCCACAGGAGUAUUUCUCCUAGCUGCCUCAGGAGGCUGCUGGCAGACACGCUGUAUGCUGGAACUGUCAACACCACAAACUCUCUUAAAGAUCUGUAGCUGUGUUGCAAGCCGACUGAUCCCAGAUCUGUGUCAUAAGGGAAAUCAGUCAGUAAACGCUCUGGUGAUCUGUCUGGUGAUGUUGUAGCACUUCCCUGUGGUCAUCCAGCACAGAGCACAAGAUGCUGAGCUCUUCUGCGCUGUGUGUGAUUUGACCACUAGAUGGAGCUGUUGCACACAGAACCCCCACAGAGCCUGUUGGCUGAAACCACAGACUUGAUAAGGUUAGAGCAAGGAGGCAGCAGGAUCUUCAGUGUUUGGUAUUCCACUGCUGUGUAUGUAAGUGCUUUGUAUUUUAGGUGUAUAAGAAAAAGCAGACAAUCAGCACUGACUGCAGAUGCAGUGAGAUUCAUCUCUCCAUGACCCAUAGGGAACUGCAUUGGGACGUCUGAU